CCACUUACAGAUGGACCCGCGGCGCAUUAGCUAGUUGGUGAGGUAACGGCUCACCAAGGCAACGAUGCGUAGCCGACCUGAGAGGGUGAUCGGCCACACUGGGACUGAGACACGGCCCAGACUCCUACGGGAGGCAGCAGUAGGGAAUCUUCCGCAAUGGACGAAAGUCUGACGGAGCAACGCCGCGUGAGUGAUGAAGGUUUUCGGAUCGUAAAGCUCUGUUGUUAGGGAAGAACAAGUACCGUUCGAAUAGGGCGGUACCUUGACGGUACCUAACCAGAAAGCCACGGCUAACUACGUGCCAGCAGCCGCGGUAAUACGUNGNUGGCAAGCGUUGUCCGGAAUUAUUGGGCGUAAAGGGCUCGCNNGCGGUUUCUUAAGUCUGAUGUGAAAACCCCCGGCUCAACCGGGGAGGGUCAUUGGAAACUGGGGAACUUGAGUGCAGAAGAGGAGAGUGGAAUUCCACGUGUAGCGGUGAAAUGCGUAAAGAUGUGGAAGAACACCAGUGGCNAANGCGACUCUCUGGUCUGUAACUGA
rnacentral:rRNA from 1 species